AGCAUAACAGGUGUGCCUCUUACAAGAAAUUCCACCUCAGAAAAUUAGGAUGUCAUAUCAUUUUCAGGAGAGCAAAAGCCAGAUUACCCAAUGUUUGAAGGAAGCUGAAGAACAUCAAAAAAGUAUUACUUGAGAAAAUGAAAGAAGAAUGUGGCCAAUUAGAAAUGCCUGCGGAAAGACAAAAAUCCUAUUUUUUUAAAAUACAGAAUUUCCUCUAAUAUGGGUAGUAUAAAGAAACUUAUGUCUAAAAUAAAACAGGACUAUUUCUCUAACUCAUGUAAACAUGUGUGUUAAUCAGACAAUAAAUGCAAAAUUCUCUGUGA